UGCAGUCGAGCGGUACAGAAGUAGCUUGCUACUUUGCUGACGAGCGGCGGACGGGUGAGUAAUGCUUGGGAACAUGCCUUGAGGUGGGGGACAACAGUUGGAAACGACUGCUAAUACCGCAUAAUGUCUACGGACCAAAGGGGGCUUCGGCUCUCGCCUUUAGAUUGGCCCAAGUGGGAUUAGCUAGUUGGUGAGGUAAUGGCUCACCAAGGCAACGAUCCCUAGCUGGUUUGAGAGGAUGAUCAGCCACACUGGAACUGAGACACGGCCCAGACUCCUACGGGAGGCAGCAGUGGGGAAUAUUGGACAAUGGGCGAAAGCCUGAUCCAGCAAUGCCGCGUGUGUGAAGAAGGCCUGCGGGUUGUAAAGCACUUUCAGUUGGGAAGAUGAUGACGUUACCAACAGAAGAAGCACCGGCUAACUCCGUGCCAGCAGCCGCGGUAAUACG
rnacentral:rRNA from 1 species